rnacentral:piRNA from 1 species
AGCAAGACUUUUCAGCCAAACAUC